rnacentral:lncRNA from 1 species
AGCCCCCUCUGUUCUCUAUCAUGUUCCAAACACAUGCACUAUAAUUUUUCUUCAUAGGAGAGUCAAGAGGAAAGAUGCUGGACUCACAUCUAUCAAGUGGAGGGAAACAUACAGCUGAGGAUGGUUAACGUGAACAUGAGAUGUGUUUGCGUCUGAAGACUGCAGCCCAAGACGCCCAUAGGAAGCCUCCAUCCUGGUGCCCGCUGGGCUGUGAGUUUGCCCCUCUGGCUAUGAGCUCGGCGUCCCCACCAGACACUUCCUUUUCUACCAGGAUCCAGCUGCUCGCCAGUCCCUCCCCCACCCCACUUUGUUAGAAGCAGCUGUUUUUCCCCUUCCAGUCCUCCAAGUGCUGAUUUCAUUUCUUUCCCGACAGAAGUUUGGAGCCAGGAGGGAAAUGGUUUGGCAGGAAGUCAACGAGCCAUGGGAGGAAGACGACAGAGUGGAGAAAGCAGACGUCUCACAGAGGGGCUGGGCCGAGGGGGUCUGAGUGGGCAGACUGGACAGGGCUCCAAAGACCCCCAGAAGUCCCUGCAAGUCCCUGGAGUCCAGGUGGGAAGAAGUCCAGAGAGGAGAGCUGAGGGCCAGGGAAGGGCCACACCCCAGCAGGACCUGAAACGGCUCUGAUCCCGGCCUCUCUCACCCUCGUCCGGUGCCCGGCAAGUGUGCAGGCAUCCUGGCCCUGCCGUCGCCACCCCUGGGGGUCUGGCUGGUUCCAGCGCAACCGUCACAGCCUACCUGUUCCUCGGGCCACAGGCC